AUUGAACGCUGGCGGCAGGCCUAACACAUGCAAGUCGAACGGUAGCACAGAGAGCUUGCUCUCGGGUGACGAGUGGCGGACGGGUGAGUAAUGUCUGGGAAACUGCCCGAUGGAGGGGGAUAACUACUGGAAACGGUAGCUAAUACCGCAUAACGUCGCAAGACCAAAGUGGGGGACCUUCGGGCCUCACACCAUCGGAUGUGCCCAGAUGGGAUUAGCUAGUAGGUGGGGUAAUGGCUCACCUAGGCGACGAUCCCUAGCUGGUCUGAGAGGAUGAGCAGCCACACUGGAACGGAGACACGGGCCAGACUCCUACGGGAGGCAGCAGUGGGGAAUAUUGCACAAUGGGCGCAAGCCUGAUGCAGCCAUGCCGCGUGUAUGAAGAAGGCCUUCGGGUUGUAAAGUACUUUCAGCGGGGAGGAGGGCGGUGAAGUUAAUAACUUCACCGAUUGACGUUACCCGCAGAAGAAGCACCGGCUAACUCCGUGCCAGCCGCCGCGGUAA
rnacentral:rRNA from 1 species